ensembl:snoRNA SNORD18 Small nucleolar RNA SNORD18
CUGCUGUGGUGAAAUUCAACUUCAUGGUCUGUUUCUGAAACUCAUGAAAUUAGUUCAAGUUUUGAGCAU